rnacentral:misc_RNA from 1 species
GAUGAAGAACGCAGCGAACUGCGAUAAGUAAUGUGAAUUGCAGAAUUCAGUGAAUCAUCGAGUCUUUGAACGCACAUUGCGCCCCCUGGCAUUCCGGGGGGCAUGCCUGUCCGAGCGUCAUUGCUGCCCUUCAAGCCCGGCUUGUGUGUUGGGUCGUCGUCCCCCCCGGGGGACGGGCCCGAAAGGCAGCGGCGGCACCGCGUCCGGUCCUCGAGCGUAUGGGGCUUCGUCACCCGCUCGAUUAGGGCCGGCCGGGCGCCAGCCGGCGUCUCCAACCUUCUAUUUUACCAGGUUGACCUCGGAUCAGGUAGGGAUACCCGCUGAACUUAAGCAUAUCAAUAAGCGGAGGA